CAGAAUUAACUGUGCCAACAAACUUCUACCAUUCGCUGAGUCCAGGACUUCACGGCUCGUUCAGAAUGGGAGUCAGGAGCACAUGAGCAUUGGAAACUUUAAAGAUUGCAACAGUUAAUCAAACUUCAACUUUGUUUGCUGCAUCAUAGGCAUUUGUCCUAUUUCUACACCCGAGAUACUGAAGUAGUCCAUGUCCAAAUGCAGCAAGACCUGGGCAAUAUCCAAUUUUAGGCUGAAAAAUGAUUGCUCUGCAGAGGGGCUGCUCUGCCCGUGACUCGGUGACAGAAUGACUAUCAGUUGAUUGAAUUUCUGUUUUUCAUCAUGCUAGCCAUGCUAAAGUACAAAAAAAAAUUAAA